GAUGAACGCUGGCGGCGUGCCUAAUACAUGCAAGUCGAGCGAACAGACGAGGAGCUUGCUCCUCUGAAGUUAGCGGCGGACGGGUGAGUAACACGUGGAUAACCUACCUAUAAGACUGGGAUAACUUCGGGAAACCGGAGCUAAUACCGGAUAACAUGUUGAACCGCAUGGUUCAACAGUGAAAGAUGGUCUUGCUGUCACUUAUAGAUGGAUCCGCGCCGCAUUAGCUAGUUGGUAAGGUAACGGCUUACCAAGGCAACGAUGCGUAGCCGACCUGAGAGGGUGAUCGGCCACACUGGAACUGAGACACGGUCCAGACUCCUACGGGAGGCAGCAGUAGGGAAUCUUCCGCAAUGGGCAAAAGCCUGACGGAGCAACGCCGCGUGAGUGAAGAAGGUCUUCGGAUCGUAAAACUCUGUUAUUAGGGAAGAACAAAUGUGUAAGUAACUAUGCACGUCUUGACGGUACCUAAUCGGAAAGCCACGGCUAACUACGUGCCAGCAGCCGCGGUAAUACGUAGGUGGCAAGCGUUAUCCGGAAUUAUUGGGCGUAAAGCGCGCGUAGGCGGUUUUUUAAGUCUGAUGUGAAAGCCCACGGCUCAACCGUGGAGGGUCAUUGGAAACUGGAAAACUUGAGUGCAGAAGAGGAAAGUGGAAUUCCAUGUGUAGCGGUGAAAUGCGCAGAGAUAUGGAGGAACACCAGUGGCGAAGGCGACUUUCUGGUCUGUAACUGACGCUGAUGUGCGAAAGCGUGGGGAUCGAACAGGAUUAGAUACCCUGGUAGUCCACGCCGUAAACGAUGAGUGCUAAGUGUUAGGGGGUUUCCGCCCCUUAGUGCCGCAGCUAACGCAUUAAGCACUCCGCCUGGGGAGUACGACCGCAAGGUUGAAACUCAAAGGAAUUGACGGGGACCCGCACAAGCGGUGGAGCAUGUGGUUUAAUUCGAAGCAACGCGAAGAACCUUACCAAAUCUUGACAUCCUCUGACCCCUCUAGAGAUAGAGUUUUCCCCUUCGGGGGACAGAGUGACAGGUGGUGCAUGGUUGUCGUCAGCUCGUGUCGUGAGAUGUUGGGUUAAGUCCCGCAACGAGCGCAACCCUUAAGCUUAGUUGCCAUCAUUAAGUUGGGCACUCUAAGUUGACUGCCGGUGACAAACCGGAGGAAGGUGGGGAUGACGUCAAAUCAUCAUGCCCCUUAUGAUUUGGGCUACACACGUGCUACAAUGGACAAUACAAAGGGUAGCGAAACCGCGAGGUCAAGCAAAUCCCAUAAAGUUGUUCUCAGUUCGGAUUGUAGUCUGCAACUCGACUACAUAAGGCUGGAAUCGCUAGUAAUCGUAGAUCAGUAUGCUACGGUGAAUACGUUCCCGGGUCUUGUACACACCGCCCGUCACACCACGAGAGUUUGUAACACCCGAAGCCGGUGGAGUAACCUUUUGGAGCUAGCCGUCGAAGGUGGGACAAAUGAUUGGGGUGAAGUCGUAACAAGGUAGCCGCAUCGGAAGG
rnacentral:rRNA from 1 species